rnacentral:rRNA from 1 species
GGAGUUAGCCGGUGCUUCUUCUGUGAGUGAUGUCCUUCCUGCCGGCUAUUAACCCGCAGGCCUUCUUCCUCACUGAAAGUGCUUUACAACCCGAAGGCCUUCUUCACACACGCGGCAUGGCUGGAUCAGGGUUGCCCCCAUUGUCCAAUAUUCCCCACUGCUGCCUCCCGUAGGAGUCUGGGCCGUGUCUCAGUCCCAGUGUGGCUGAUCAUCCUCUCAGACCAGCUACGGAUCGUCGCCUUGGUGAGCCGUUACCUCACCAACCAGCUAAUCCGACAUAGGCUCAUCCGAUAGCGCGAGGCCCGAAGGUCCCCCGCUUUCCCCCGUAGGGCGUAUGCGGUAUUAGCCUGGGUUUCCCCAGGUUAUCCCCCACUACCGGGCAGAUUCCUAUGCAUUACUCACCCGUCCGCCGCUCGCCACCAGGGAGCAAGCUCCCCGUGCUGCCGCUCGACUUGCAUGUGUAGCNGCGCCAGCGUCAUCUGAGCCAUGAUACAACUACUGA